rnacentral:rRNA from 1 species
ACAAGGCCUUUACUGACGCUAAAGCUCGAAGGUGCGGGUAUCGAACAGGAUUAGAUACCCUGGUAGUCCGCACGGUAAACGAUGGAUGCCCGCUGUUUGCGAUAUAUUGUAAGCGGCCAAGCGAAAGCGUUAAGCAUCCCACCUGGGGAGUACGCCGGCAACGGUGAAACUCAAAGGAAUUGACGGGGGCCCGCACAAGCGGAGGAACAUGUGGUUUAAUUCGAUGAUACGCGAGGAACCUUACCCGGGCUUGAACUGCAGGAGAACGAUCCAGAGAUGGUGAGGCCCUUCGGGGCUCCUGUGGAGGUGCUGCAUGGUUGUCGUCAGCUCGUGCCGUGAGGUGUCGGCUUAAGUGCCAUAACGAGCGCAACCCUUUCCGGUAGUUGCCAUCAGGUGAUGCUGGGCACUCUGCCGGUACUGCCACCGUAAGGUGUGAGGAAGGUGGGGAUGACGUCAAAUCAGCACGGCCCGACGUUACGGUGUACACACCCGGGGAACGGGGCAUACAGAACGCCGCUGGCGCGCGAGACCAUCCAUCCUGAAAGUUCCCUCAGGUCGGAGACCGCUCUGCAAACCGACCCACAUGAAGCUGAUUCGCUA